rnacentral:tRNA from 1 species
GGCGGCGUAGCUCAGGUGGUCAGAGCACACGGCUCAUAAUCGUGUUGUCGAGGGUUCGAGUCCCUCCGCCGCUACCA